GACGAACGCUGGCGGCGUGCUUAACACAUGCAAGUCGAACGGAAAGGCCCUGCUUUUGUGGGGUGCUCGAGUGGCGAACGGGUGAGUAACACGUGAGUAACCUGCCCUUGACUUUGGGAUAACUUCAGGAAACUGGGGCUAAUAUCGGAUAGGAGCUCCUGCUGCAUGGUGGGGGUUGGAAAGUUUCGGCGGUUGGGGAUGGACUCGCGGCUUAUCAGCUUGUUGGUGGGGUAGUGGCUUACCAAGGCUUUGACGGGUAGCCGGCCUGAGAGGGUGACCGGCCACAUUGGGACUGAGAUACGGCCCAGACUCCUACGGGAGGCAGCAGUGGGGAAUAUUGCACAAUGGGCGGAAGCCUGAUGCAGCAACGCCGCGUGCGUGAUGACGGCCUUCGGGUUGUAAACCGCUUUCGCCUGUGACGAAGCGUGAGUGACGGUAAUGGGUAAAGAAGCACCGGCUAACUACGUG
rnacentral:rRNA from 1 species